rnacentral:misc_RNA from 1 species
GAUGAAGAACGUAGUGAAAUGCGAUAAGUAAUGUGAAUUGCAGAAUUCAGUGAAUCAUCGAAUCUUUGAACGCACAUUGCGCCCGCUAGUAUUCUGGCGGGCAUGCCUGUCCGAGCGUCAUUGCAACCUUCAAGCGCGGCUUGUGUGUUGGGUCUCGUCCCCCGUGGACGGGCCCGAAAGGCAGUGGCGGCGCCCGAAUCUGGUGCCUGAGCGUAUGGGAAUUUUCUUUCCGCUCAACGUGGCCCGGCGGACGCUGGUCUUCUUAACCAAAGGAUCUUGCAUUCUUUACCGGUUGACCUCGGAUCAGGUAGGGAUACCCGCUGAACUUAAGCAUAUCAAUAAGCCGGAGGA